rnacentral:rRNA from 1 species
AAGUGUUAGUUCAGGUAACGAAACUGCGAACAGCUCAUUAACACACUUAGGAUCUAAUUGAUUGCGACUAAUUUAGUCAUAUAUGGAUAGCAGGAGUAAUUCUCGUGCUAAUACAUGCAAUUGUUACAUCAGAAAUGAAAUAUGAUGUAAAAGUUUACCUUUUUAGGAAAAUCAUAUGAUUGAGUGACCUAUCAGCUAAUACUUAGGGUCUUUUCCUAUGUAGGCUAUCACGGGUACCGGGCGGUUGCCGUCGUACUGCCGGAGAAGGCGCCUGAGAGAUAGCGACUAUGCCUACGGGCAGCAGCAGGCGCGAAACUUACCCACUCGACGACGUCGGAGGUGGUUAUGACCAGUUCUUGUUUGAGCUUCGGUUCAAAUUGGAUAGGAUAAUAAAUAGAUAUCAUUAUGUAAUCUAGCAGAGGGCCAGUCUGGUGCCAGCAGCCGCGGUAAUUCCAGCUCUGCGAGUUUGCUCCCAUAUUGUUGCAGUUAAAACGCCCGUAGUCUGAAGUCUAAAGUUGAAUAGGCAAAUUGCCGUUCACUGUGAACAAAUCAGGACGCUUAGAGUAAGUCUACAUGAAUGAUCUAGCACAGUCUGAAUAAUUUGCUUCUAUUAGCAAAAUCAAAGAGAACCAUUGGGGGGUAGUUCUAUUUCAUGGCGAACGGUGGACUGUUUUGACCCAUGAGAGAGAAACGAAAGCGAAGGCAACUACCUAGAGGGUAUCUAUCGAUCAAGGGCGAGAGUAGGAGUAGCGAACCGGAUUAGAGACCCGGGUAGUUCCUACAGUAAACGAUGUCGACAGGGGAUUGGUUUAAACAGUAAAUCAGCACCCUAAGAGAAAUCAUAGUUCAUGGACUCUGGGGGAACUACGAUCGCAAGACUGAAACUUGAAGGAAUUGACGGAAGGGCACACAAGGGGUGGAGCCUGUGGCUUAAUUUGAAUCAACACGGGGAAACUUACCAGGACAAAAUGAUAUGGUGACUGACAGUUUGAAGAGCUUUCAGGAUAUGUUUGUGGGUGGUGCAUGGCCGUUGGUGGUGCGUGGGUUGACCUGUCUAGCGUUGAUUCAGGUAGCGAGCGAGAUUACCGCCAAAAAUAAUAGGGAAUUAAAAUCUUAAAUUGAUAAUUCAUACUUCUAUUUGGAACUGCCUGGUUUAAAACAGGAGGAAGGUGGUAGCAAUAACAGGUCCGUGAUGUCCUUCAGAUGCUCUGGGCUGCACGCGUGCUACAAUGUGAAUAUCAAAUGGAAAAUGCUACUUUGAUAAAAGAUGCUACUCCAUAAUGAUUCACGUAGUUGGGAUUGAAGAUUGUAAUCAUUUUCAUGAACUAGGAAUUCCCUGUAAGCGUGUGUCAACAACGCACGUUGAAUACGUCCCUGCCCUUUGUACACACCGCCCGUCGCUCCUACCGAUCAAAUGACCUGGUGAAAUUGUCAGAUCUUAUUAUUAGAAAAGACAUUUAAAUCAUGUUGUCUA